rnacentral:lncRNA from 1 species
CGCGGGCGCACGAGGGGGCCCAGAGGGUGCCGGGCACGGCUGCGGCGCGGGGAGUCCCCUGGGAACGGAGCAGCGCCGGGGCACGGAGAAUCCCCUGGGAAUGGAGCAGUCCUGCACGGAGCGUCCCCAUGGCACGGAGCGUCCCCAUGGCACGGAGCAGCCCCUGGGCUUUGGGUGUCCCCGUGGCCAAGAGCGACCCCAUGGCACGGAGCAGCCCCAUGGCACGGAGCAGCCCCAUGGCAUUGAGUGUCCCCUGGGCUUUGGGUGUCCCCAUGGCCAAGAGCGACCCCAUGGCACGGAGCAGCCCCAUGGCACGGAGCAGCCCCUGGACUUUGGGUGUCCCCGUGGCCAAGAGUGACCCCAUGGCACGGAGUGACCCCAUGGCACGGAGUGACCCCAUGGCACGGAGUGACCCCAUGGCACGGAGCGACCCCAUGGCACGGAGAAUUCCUGCACGGAGAAUCCCUUUAUGGACCAUCCCCACGGCCAAGAGCGUCCCCUGGGCUUUGGGUGUCCCCUGGGCAUCGGGUGUCCCCGUGGCACCGAGCAUCCCGAAGGCCAAGAGCGUCCCCGUGGCGCAGAGCAGCCGUGCACGGAGCGACCCCGUGGCACGGAGCGUCCUCUGGGCACGGAGAAUUCCUGCACGAAUCCCUUUAGGGACCAUCCCCGCGGCACGGAGCGACCCCAAGGCAUGGAGCAGCCCCGCACGGAGCAGCCCCACGGCCCGCGACGUCCUUGCAACGCAGCCCAGCCCAGCAGCAUGGAGCACGCCCGUGGCAUGGGGCGUCCCCACGGCGUGGGACAAGCUUGCAACAGGGAGCAUCCCUGCAACAAGGAGCAUCCCUGCAACAGGGAGCAUCCCUGCAACAGGGAGCAUCCCUGCAACAAGGAGCGUCAUAACUCAGAGUAUCCUUGCAGCAUGGAACAAGCUUGCAGCAUGGAGCGUCUUUGCGACACGGAGCACCCUUGCAACACAGAGCGUCCUUGCAACUCGGAGCAUCCUCAUAGCACGGGGUGUCCUCGUAGCAAGGGACAUCCUUGCAACAAGGAGCAUCCCUGCAACAAGGAGCGUCAUUGUAACUCAGAGUAUCCUUGCAACACGGAGCAUCCUUGCAACUCGGAGCAUCCUCAUAGCAAGGGACGUCCUUGCAACUCGGAGCAUCCUUGCAACUCGGAGCAUCCUUGCAACUCGGAGCAUCCUCGUAGGAUGGAAAAACCUUGCAACAAGGAGCAUCCUUGCAACAAGGAGCAUCCCUGAGACGUGCAGCAUCCUUGCAACAUGGAGCACCCUUGCAACACGGAGCAUCCCUGAAACGUGGAGCAUCCUUGCAACUUGGAGCACCCCUGCAGCAUGGAACAACCUUGCAACAGGGAGAGCAUCCUCGCAACAAGGAGCAUCCCUGCAACACUGAGCAUCCUUGUAGCACAGGGUGUCCUUGCACCAAGGAGCCCCCUUACACC